rnacentral:rRNA from 1 species
AGUAGUUGAUCAUGGCUCAGGACGAACGCUGGCGGCGUGCCUAACACAUGCAAGUCGAACGAGGUCCAAGGAAGCUUGCUUCCUGAAGACCUAGUGGCGAACGGGUGAGUAACACGUGAGAAACCUGCCUCGGAGUGGGGAAUAACUCGGGGAAACUCGAGCUAAUACCGCGUACCUUCACAUGAUCGCAUGGUCGAGUGAAGAAAGAAUUUCGCUCUGAGAGGGUCUCGCGGCCUAUCAGCUUGUUGGUGGGGUAACGGCCUACCAAGGCAACGACGGGUAGCUGGUUUGAGAGAACGAUCAGCCACACUGGGACUGAGACACGGCCCAGACUCCUACGGGAGGCAGCAGUGGGAAUCUUGCGCAAUGGGCGAAAGCCUGACGCAGCAACGCCGCGUGCGGGAUGACGGCCUUCGUGGUUGUAAACCGCUUUCAGCAGGGACGAAAAUGACGGUACCUGCAGAAGAAGCCCCGGCUAACUACGUG